rnacentral:rRNA from 1 species
GUGGCUUAAUUUGACUCAACGCGGGAAAUCUUACCGGGUCCGGACACACUGAGGAUUGACAGGUAUUAUAUAGCAACUUUCGGGUUGUCUAUUGUUAAAUAUGCUAGUCCUUUCAUGAUUAUGUGAUAGGUGGUGCAUGGCCGUUCUUAGUUCGUGGAGNGAUCUGUCUGCUUAAUUGCGUUUCAGAUAANGAUCUAUAUUCUUUACAGUGUCGNAGUGUUUNAAUUGACCCCUCUNUCGAGAGUGUGUGUCUUUUUU